rnacentral:rRNA from 1 species
UACGUAGGGUGCAAGCGUUGUCCGGAAUUAUUGGGCGUAAAGAGCUCGUAGGCGGUCUGUCGCGUCGGAUGUGAAAAUCCAGGGCUCAACCCUGGACCUGCAUUCGAUACGGGCAGACUAGAGUUCGGUAGGGGGAGACUGGAAUUCCUGGUGUAGCGGUGAAAUGCGCAGAUAUCAGGAGGAACACCGGUGGCGAAGGCGGGUCUCUGGGCCGAAACUGACGCUGAGGAGCGAAAGCGUGGGGAGCAAACAGG